UACAGCGCACAGCAUACAAAUUAACCAUAAAAUUUAAUAUUCUCAGUAAACAUACUGCAGCUAAAGCGGCGGUCGAAUAACUCGCGAACUGUUCUGCUAAUCCGAUAAUUUAAUCUGGAAUUUAAUCCCAAACGCAAAAUCACAAACAGAGGCUGGAAUGAAUUCUGGAAGAUUAUAGGAAAUGCGAACUCCAUGAAGAACUUGAUAAUAAGAGAAUACAAAUGGUUUUCAAAAGGAUGAACGGUAUACAUGGCCUUUAUUCGAAACUGAACGAAGUGACAGGAGAUCUGUCACCAAGUUGUAAGUCAGUGGAAAGUGGUUCGUCAAAAACAAGGUUAUCAAAUAAUUCAUUGAAUUUGAAACCGAUGCACUAGGAGCAACGUAAUGGAGAGAAACAGGAAAAAAUGAAUUUGAAAACUAAUUUUCAUAGAAUUACAGAUGCGAAGAAGUUCAAAUUUGUCGAAGUUCACUGUCUUUCCAGUAUAUCAAAAUAAAUAUACAAGGUGUCCACCCUCAA